rnacentral:misc_RNA from 1 species
GUCUUCUCCACCAAACAUUAUGAUUUUGGAACCAAAAAGAGUUGCUGAAUGUCCAGCACGAGCAAUCGGAAUGUUUCCAGCAGUCUCCAUAACACUCCAUGUGUGUGUUUUUAGAUCAAUGCAAUGAACCAAAAUUCUAUCGGAUGAUCCUUUUAAAUUUCCACCAAGCACGAUGAGUUUCUUAUCCCAUCUGACCAUACUAUG